UUCUCUGAUUUAGCGGCGGACGUGUGAGUAACACGUGGGCAACCUGCCCUACAGAUCGGGAUAACUCAGGGAAACCUGGGCUAAUACCGGAUAAUCCUUCGAAUCACAUGUUUUGAAGUUGAAAGGCGCUUCGGCGUCACUGUAGGAUGGGCCCGCGGUGCAUUAGCUAGUUGGUGGGGUAACGGCCUACCAAGGCAACGAUGCAUAGCCGACCUGAGAGGGUGAUCGGCCACAUUGGGACUGAGACACGGCCCAAACUCCUACGGGAGGCAGCAGUAGGGAAUCUUCCACAAUGGACGAAAGUCUGAUGGAGCAACGCCGCGUGAGUGAUGAAGGUUUUCGGAUCGUAAAACUCUGUUGUAAGGGAAGAACAAGUACGUUAGGAAAUGAACGUACCUUGACGGUACCUUAUUAGAAAGCCACGGCUAACUACGUGCCAGCAGCCGCGGUAAUACGUAGGUGGCAAGCGUUGUCCGGAUUUAUUGGGCGUAAAGCGCGCGCAGGUGGUUUCUUAAGUCUGAUGUGAAAGCCCACGGCUCAACCGUGGAGGGUCAUUGGAAACUGGGGAACUUGAGUGCAGAAGAGGAUAGUGGAAUUCCAAGUGUAGCGGUGAAAUGCGUAGAGAUUUGGAGGAACACCAGUGGCGAAGGCGACUGUCUGGUCUGUAACUGACACUGAGGCGCGAAAGCGUGGGGAGCAAACAGGAUUAGAUACCCUGGUAGUCCACGCCGUAAACGAUGAGUGCUAAGUGUUAGGGGGUUUCCGCCCCUGAGUGCUGCAGCUAACGCAUUAAGCACUCCGCCUGGGGAGUACGACCGCAAGGUUGAAACUCAAAGGAAUUGACGGGGGCCCGCACAAGCGGUGGAGCAUGUGGUUUAAUUCGAAGCAACGCGAAGAACCUUACCAGGUCUUGACAUCCCAAUGACCGUCCUAGAGAUAGGAUUUUCCCUUCGGGGACAUUGGUGACAGGUGGUGCAUGGUUGUCGUCAGCUCGUGUCGUGAGAUGUUGGGUUAAGUCCCGCAACGAGCGCAACCCUUAUUCUUAGUUGCCAUCAUUUAGUUGGGCACUCUAAGGAGACUGCCGGUGACAAACCGGAGGAAGGUGGGGAUGACGUCAAAUCAUCAUGCCCCUUAUGACCUGGGCUACACACGUGCUACAAUGGACGAUACAAAGAGUCGCAAACUCACGAGGGUAAGCUAAUCUCAUAA
rnacentral:rRNA from 1 species